ACGUAACUGGCCUCUCCACUUUUUUGAACAGCAAAUUAGGGUUUUAAUUGAAUAUUAAAACAAGAAACGUAAAACUAUUCACCCUUAUACAUCAUUCCAUCAGAGUCGAAGAACUGAACUUUCUGCAGAAGGGAUGAUUCUUGUUCUCAUGACUUAUUCAUAUAUCUUUUGCAUUAUCUAACAAUUGAUUAUAAUCCUCGUUCACUCCAAUAAGCUAAUUUCCAAUUGAGACCCUAGAACCCUAGUUGAAUGCAAUUUCGUUAUCUCCAUGAUUGAAUUAUUUUCUUUAAAAUAUCAAUUGAUGUGGAAUUAAUCAUCUACAUAGUAUUGGAAUAUCAGUUAUUUUAUAGUUCUGGUUUGAACGAUUAUUCAUGUGUAAUUGAGUUUAUUUAUUUAUUUAUUUAUUUAUUUUAUUUUAUUUUUUUUGAUCAAUAGAUGGUUAACAAAAGUUUGAUUUAUUUUCCAGUUGCUGCUGCGGGAUUGACGUUCUGUUUGUGCUUCUGCUUGAUAGGUUAAAUAUGAAGGUUUUCUUGAGGAGAAGUAUGGGAAAGAACGUAAUAAACAUCCAAAAUUUGACAAAGACUUGUGGUCACGAGCUGAGGGCAAGAAUAAAGGAAAAGUGUACGGGUUAGGCAAUGAUAGUGACCCGUGUGUACAUAGCAGAGAAGACCCCUGAGAUUGAAAAGUUGAACUUAGUUAUCAAGGGACUCGUUAAGGAAAAAGAUGAAGAAAAAGAAAGGUUCAAUGGAAUUAUUGCGGGGUUGUUGGCUGACAAAGAAAAAGAUAAGGUGGAUAAAGAUGCGUUGCUUGAUAGGAUGUCACAAAUUGAAGCUAUGUUAACAGCUACAGUUCGAAGAUAGGCUAUAAACACUUGGUUUUGAAUGUUUAGAUAUUUAUCUUAUUAGGAUAAUUUUAGUUAGUUUAUAUUUUAGUUGGAUUUUAUUAUAUGUUUUUGAAAACAAGAUGUUUUAUAUAAGUUUGGGAUUUUAUUAGACUUU